rnacentral:rRNA from 1 species
CCCUCUGUCCCUAUCUACUAUCUAGCGAAACCACUGCCAAGGGAACGGGCUUGGAAAAAUCAGCGGGGAAAGAAGACCCUGUUGAGCUUGACUCUAGUCUGGCACUGUAAGGAGACAUGAGAGGUGUAGCAUAAGUGGGAGACGGUAUCCAUCCCGUCGCCGGUGAAAUACCACUACUUUCAUCGUUUCUUUACUUACUUGGUUAGGCGGAGGGCGUUCGUCGAGGGUACACACCCCGGCGGUACGGUCUUCUCGCGCCAAGCGUUCAAGGGUUGCCGGCGGACAGAAGUGCGGGUCGACGUCGGUGAGUCGUGUAACCUGGCUUGCCAGGCCACGGCCCGGCGACGGCUUUAGCACGCUCUGAACCCGACCGGCAAACACUCCCUAGCGUGAUCCGAUCCGAGGACACUGCCAGGCGGGGAGUUUGACUGGGGCGGUACAUCUGUCAAAGAAUAACGCAGGUGUCCUAAGGCCAGCUCAGCGAGGACAGAAACCUCGCGUAGAGCAAAAGGGCAAAUGCUGGCUUGAUCCCGAUGUUCAGUACGCAUAGGGACUGCGAAAGCACGGCCUAUCGAUCCUUUUGGCUUGAAGAGUUUUCAGCAAGAGGUGUCAGAAAAGUUACCACAGGGAUAA